GAGGGGUGCUCCUUCACAGUAAAUUUCCACACCCCCGCACGCCUUCACGCAGCCCGAGCCGGCGUCGUGCCGAGGUUCUGCUCGCUUGCCAGCCGGGCGCUCACUGGAAGAUCGCCGAGCCCCUCGGCUGAGCCGCAGUGGCAGAAAUCCAUCUGCGGAGGGAAGGCUGGGGAAGGCGCGGGGGAGCCCAGGAGCGCGCUGAAGGAGUCGGGGGGAGGGAGGGAGAGAGGAGGAGGAGGAGGAGGAAGAGGAGGAGAGAGGAGAGGUUUAGAAGCGGGAUGGUGGGGGGAUAAAAAUCGAUCCCGAUUCAGGACAAACGUCGAAGGCAGUCCUGGCGCCCAAGCGGUCUGUUGAAGCCCUCCCUCCCUCCAACGGAUCCUUUCAGUUCUCCCUGUUUAAUCAUGGAAAGUUGCACAUUGCCUGACUGGCUGACCCCCUCCCUUUUCCUCCUUCCCUCCUUCCCUCCCUCGCCGCGCAGGCGUCACACCUGGAUCCGACUCGAUUCUCCGGCGAAGGCAGGGCUUGGGAGAGCGGCAAGAGCCUCCUUCAGCUGUCCCGGCGUGGCUUGCUUCGAAUUAGUGUCAGGGUGUCAAGCGCCUAGCGAGCGGAGAAAUCUGUGAAGAGAAUAGCAGUGGGUUGAAUCUGAAGAUAAUUCUCCUCCAAAGGAAACAGCACAGUCCACUUGGAUUAAUACUCAAAGAUACAAUGCCAAAGUACCUUCAUCACUUCAGUCUAAUCCUAAUUGCUCUGGCAUGCUGCCGUCCUAUAGACUUGGUAUAAAGUAUUUCCCAAAGAAGCUUUGAAACUGACUCAGAGCUUUUAGAAGGAAAAAAAAUAUGAGGGCAGUUGCCAUCUGCCCUAUAUGCCUCACCUUCAAACAAGCACACCUAAUGCACAGGUGGAAC
rnacentral:lncRNA from 1 species